rnacentral:rRNA from 1 species
AGUGAACGCUGGCGGUAGGCCUAACACAUGCAAGUCGAACGGCAGCACAGUAAGAGCUUGCUCUUACGGGUGGCGAGUGGCGGACGGGUGAGGAAUACAUCGGAAUCUACUUUUUCGUGGGGGAUAACGUAGGGAAACUUACGCUAAUACCGCAUACGACCUACGGGUGAAAGCAGGGGAUCUUCGGACCUUGCGCGAUUGAAUGAGCCGAUGUCGGAUUAGCUAGUUGGCGGGGUAAAGGCCCACCAAGGCGACGAUCCGUAGCUGGUCUGAGAGGAUGAUCAGCCACACUGGAACUGAGACACGGUCCAGACUCCUACGGGAGGCAGCAGUGGGGAAUAUUGGACAAUGGGCGCAAGCCUGAUCCAGCCAUACCGCGUGGGUGAAGAAGGCCUUCGGGUUGUAAAGCCCUUUUGUUGGGAAAGAAAAGCAGCAGGUUAAUACCACGCUGUUCUGACGGUACCCAAAGAAUAAGCACCGGCUAACUUCG